GGUUGAAUUCAGUGUCGUAGCAGGAAUUCUUAGAGCUGGCCGUCCCAAGAUGGGGUGGAGAGAGCGGCAUGAAAGAGAGAGAGAGAGAGAGACACGCCUGAAUGGCAGCAGCAGGCCUUAGCGGCAAAGGACAGCAGGCACAGGACCAGCUUUGCCUUGAGCCGCAACGCUGAUGCCAGAAAAGGACAACCUCUCCAGAAUCGCCGCAGUGUGCUUCC
rnacentral:lncRNA from 1 species